rnacentral:lncRNA from 1 species
GCUGAACCAGGAGCACUUGGACUCCUUUGAAAAGGCUACGCAUGCACCUAAUGCUACGUCCCGUGUUGAAAUGUCCCCUUCGCCUAGGACACAGGACCUUCAGAAGGAGUCUGUGAACCUCAGACUCUCUUGGCCGAACUUGACAGUUAUGAACCUUCAAGGCCUCUAUCGGCUCAUUCAUCUUUAAGAUUCUGGAACGCCCUGCAUAGGGUGCUCAAGUCUGUCCAGAGAAUAGACAACUCUUCUUGAAUUCUCUGAAGGGAUUGUUGGCUAUAGGAGGUCAGAGGUGUGAACUCACUAAUGCAUAUUUGCAGACUGCUUUUUGCCUUGGCCGCUGCAUGGGACACAUGUAGGAGUUCUCCUGAAAACCUUUGUAAGAUUUGCCCUCGAAUGGGGGCAUGUGUGAUCAUCUUAUCUUCAUGUGGCACAGGGAGGUGAAAGAUUUGCUCAAUAUCAGUUGAUCCUUGACAGAACCAAGGCCAUAGUCUCAGAAAGGUCCACAACACUGACUCCACACACCAAGGUAUCCUAACCCAGCCCCCCAGUGAGGCACCCUGGCCUGUGUCUCCACAGGGGCCCACACUGUGGAGUCAGAGGGAGGUCAGCUCGCCCCCUUCAGAGCUGGUUUCCAUCUGCAUAAUGUGGUCAUGCAGUGACCAUCUUGCUUGAAUGCCUCGAGCGACAGGAGAUGUAGAACACACUAUUCUCACAGUCGACUCCCUUUUUGGAGGAUUAGGAUUGUAGGACGAAGCCUUUUUUCUCCAAGUCAUGACCACCGACCAAAGGGUCAGGGGCAGCUCCACACUGUCUUGGUUCCGUUUCCCUCCCGUGUCUUCUGCAGUCUGCUGCCAGGCUAGCCCCGAGGGAGGAGCACUGGGUCCCCUCUU